UACGGAGGGUGCAAGCGUUAAUCGGAAUUACUGGGCGUAAAGCGCACGCAGGUGGCUGAGUAAGUCGAUUGUGAAAGCCCUGGGCUUAACCUAGGAAGUGCAUUCGAAACUGCUGGGCUUGAGUUCUGGAGAGGAAGGCGGAAUUCUCGGUGUAGAGGUGAAAUUCGUAGAUAUCGAGAGGAACACCGGUGGCGAAGGCGGCCUUCUGGACAGUGACUGACGCUGAGACGCGAAAGCGUGGGGAGCAAACAGGG
rnacentral:rRNA from 1 species